UCCCUGCUGCCGGGCUUCGGGGCGCUGACCCCGCGGUUCCCCGUGCAGCGGCACCCGACAGUACUGAACAGCAUCAGCAGCUCAGUGAUACAAUGACUGUGAAGGGAGGAAACCAACAAAUACUGAGAAUCACUUCUACUUAAAAGGCACAUGUGAGAGCAAAAAUAAAAGAAUACACAGAACUACUGAACCUUAGUUCCUUUGAAACUACAAGUCAAGCCUACUUUGAAUAUUACCUGAAAAUACUACAAGCCAUGAAAGAAGGAAAAGCUGUAAAGGGCUGAGAUGGAAUAUCAGACAUAAGGAUAAAGGAGAGAAAAGUUGAGGUGGCAAGAGACUUCUCUGGCUUUCAUGAUAGUGUGGUCACCUCUACUGCACUGUGGCCUUCAGGGUUUCGUCUCAAAGGAUCAAAGGCUGCACUUUCAGGCCAAUCUGCCCAAGCUGGAGCAGGUCCCUUGUGAUGGAAAGACACCUGGGGUGUCAGUGAGCAGAUUCUUCAGGGAGCUACCAAAGCAGCCUCACAGAACAGGGAGAGAGCUCAGAAAGACAGAAGGUGCUGAGGAUCAGCUACUUUCCUCUUGUAAGAGUUUUGUUUGAUUGAAAGGCUGUUAUGGUUCUCAGCUGCAUCUCAUCAGAUGCCCAGAUGUACUAGCAAUUCAGUCCAAAGCAGACUGGGAGAGAGGAUGGCAGCUUCUGGAAAGGACUCUUGGAAGAGAUCAUUCAUUGGAGUGGCAUCUGUAAUCAGCUGGGCCUACCAAGGGUUGAUGUAUAUAUCGAACAGAACUAAGACAGAUAGGAUCUCGUGGACUGUCUUUUAGGGCACUGUUGAGCAAGUUAUGCUGGCUGAUGAUUCUCUUGAUGAUUCUCUUGAUGAUUCCUGGUCAGGAAUAAUGGCUCUGUUGGAUGGCAUUGCACAGACAUCUUUCAGCAGCUGUCUGAAUGGUUUUCUCUACUCCAAGUUAAUUUCCUAGUGAAUAGCCAGAGUAGGAAAUGUGCAGAUGUCAUGAGGUGAUGGAGUCUCACAAAGGUGAGGGGAGUGGUGAAGUCCUGGGUUGAUGUGAGUAGGGCAGGUGACAGCUUGUAAGACAAAGUACUGAAGGCUCCUCAUUGUAUAAAGGCAUUUUGUUCAUUGAUUGUCUCUAGCUGUGAAGGACAAACUAAUCCCACAGAGGCAUUUUCCUGCAGAAACUCUUCAGAUGGGCAAUUUUUCCCAUUAUCUGGACAAAAAUGUUGGCCACCUCCAAAACAGAAGUCUUGCAGCUCUCAGGUUAAGUCUCUCAAUUCAGCCAGCACUGCAAAAGGGCUUGGAAAGUUGCUUGAUUCACCUAGUCCUUGCCAGGGUUAUUAACUGGUACUAGAACAGGCUUCCUCUUCUUGUAAGUUAGCCUCUUCCAGUUUACCUGUGUCCCUUAUCCAGGGUAUGCUUGUGGCUGGGGAAGAAGAAAGAGUCAGGGAGGAGACAUAAAAGCUAGAUGCCAAGAUGCAAAGUUAAAUGGGAUAACUGGUAAUUUUAAUGUUCCUUCUGACAAAGCUUCCUGAGGCAGAAGUGAAGCAGCUGGUGUUUGUCAGAGAUAUACCUCAUACAAUGGAUGUGAAUAUGUCUUGAGCCAGUUGCUGGGAAGCUGAAGCCCAAAUCUGAGCCAAGUUACUCAUGGCUCAGUCUUUUUCCCAAGGCCUGGCAUGCUGAAGAGAAUUAUACAAUAAGGCCUAAACCAGGCUCUCCAUUGUCUUGUUCUGGAACAUAAAUUUAGGGAAGCAUGCAACCAGGACAAUGACAAUGUCUGCCUCAACUUCUUAAACUACUUUUAUUGCAAAUAAAAGAAGCUAGACUGAUAGUUUGAAGACUGACAGCCCAGAAAGCUGAGGUCUUCUUUCCAUUAUACAAACUGAGCUCCGCAGGCAAGGCAUAUCCCUGUCUCCCUCUACCUAGAAUGUUCUUCAGCUUCAGUUUGUACUGGAGAAAAGGUAUUAUUAAAGCCUUCCUCUCUGCUGAGACUGACUGGUGAGUACUUGGAAGAAACAUGCAAGAUGAGUUUUUAUAGGGAUUCAGAGAAAACUUGAGCUGCUAGGCUGUGAAGGAAAUGCUGGAGAGAGACUGGGGCUGUUAGAGGGGUGUAUUUUGGUUGUGUAGAUGUGGCUAUAUCACUGUCUAGUGGCUGUCCCAUGGAACACAAGUCCCCUUGCUGCAGCUAGACUUUGUGGAUACACCACGUGCUCAAAUAAUGAGUUCUAUGUUUUUUAAGCCAAAAAUUUUUCUCCCCCUGCUGAGGAACAUGAAGUUUGUGUAUCUGCAACAUGGAUUCCUUACAGAGGAGGAGAUUUGCUCUUGAAGGGUAGUUUAUAUUGUUUUAGUCAGUGCAGGAAUGAAGAAAGGAAUCAGAUUUUGCUUAUGAAAUGCCUAAGGAUUAGACUAGUAUUGCACUAUCCAAAAUGAAAUCUACUGGUCCAGCUAGGAGUGAAGCAUAAACAAGGCAAAAUCUGAAUUAAAAGCUGCUAGAGAGAGACAGCACCGAGUGUGCAUUGGAUAAAACCAGCAGCCCUGUGGACUGAGAACAAUCCAACAACAACUCUAGCCCAGCUCCACAAAUGUUAUUGAACAAGUCUCAUGAAGGUGUGUCCUAUGUGAAUUAGCCUUAAACAAAGAAGACUAAAAAUCUCGAGCCUGUUCCUUCUUCCUCCCUGCUGUCUUGGUUUAAAAAGUUGAAAAGUCAUGAUUAAAUUGGCUGCACUUGUUA